GCAGCCGCCCGAGGCCCUGCUGGGCGGGUCGGGGUGGAAAGGAGUCUGGAGUCCGCAGAAGCCUCCUCCUUUCCUGGCUUCACCUGCUCCUCCUGGUGUCUCUCCGUGGAGUCGGCGGGGAGGAGCCGCGGAAGCCGGGGCAGCCGUGACUGCACCAGGAAGAACAGCUCAGGCGUGGGCACGUGGGCUGUGAGCCCAGCCGAGAUCGCUGCCAGCACAGAGGUCCAAUCCACCCCGCGUCAGGGCCUGGACCAUGGGCCUGAGGUGUGGGUGGGGGAGAUGCCAAGACCAGAAGGAGGGUGUCAACAGAGCAUCAGGAGGCACUGACCCCAGAGCCCCUCCACGUCCCCGGGAACGGCCGGCCCCCCGUCGCCGCCGAGGGCCCUCGACCAGGAUGGACAGCCAGGGGAAGGCUGCUUGUCUCCACGCCUCUCCGACGGCUCUUCUUCCGGCCCCUCCAGCCCAGGUGGAAUCCUUGAAGCUGGAGUCAGGACUGCCGGGCUUGCGGAGACGUGGGCUCCCCAGGAAGUGCUGAGCCCAUGAUCAGAGCUGCACCCCCACAAGAAGUCACCAUGUGGAUCCCCAGAGGGGAUACUCCGGAAGUGCUUCCAUUCGGCCACCAGCAGCUGUGAUGUCCCCUGACCGUGCAUCCUGGGUCCCAGGGGAUGGUGGGUAGGGGAGCCAGGCGAGGAAGUGAGUCACAGCCCUGUGGGGUGAGCUCCCCGAGGGGAAGGGAUUGCGUAGAGUACUUGGGGGAAUUUGUGAGCCUUCAAGCUGGCCUCUGCUGCGACAGGGGCCAGCAGCCUCGUCCGCUCUGUAGUCCACUCCGGCUGCUCCCUGUAGCCAGGGGUGCGGCAUGGCAGGAACAGGCCACAGGGCAAGGGAGGAGUGUGGUGGGCUCAGAAGGCUCUGGGGAGAGGGUGCCUUGCUCCUGGUGCUGAAAGGACAGCGCCCGGCUUGGGCAGAGGCCGCGCCAAGUCCUGGCGGAAGCUUUUCCGCAAACUGGAGUGGGGCGUCAUGUGCAUCUGAAUUUUUCCACUCCUCUUCUCUGGAGCCUGUCAGUGCCGUCUUGGCAAAGAUGGUUUGAGCCUGAAAGCUUUUCCCAUCUAUUUUUAAAUAAAUGGAAUUCCUGUCACUUGCAUGAAAUUCACCCCAA
rnacentral:lncRNA from 1 species